AACUCACAUUUCAGAUAAGGAAGAAAUGGGUCAAAACAUUUUAAAGCUGCUGCUUUCCCUGACAACAUCCUUUGCUUGUUAAGCACGCUUCAAUUUGAUUUGGUUCCCAGGCUUGCUUUGAAGACAUGCUGUGUGCUAGAGAAGGCUGGGCCUGAGGAGUUGGAGACCCUGGAAGCUAUCCUGAAUUUCAAAUACUCUGGAGGCCCGGGCCACACUGAAGGAUAUUACAGGAAUCUCUCCCUGGGGCUGCAUGUAGAAGUUGAGCCAUCUGUAUUUUUCACCCGAGUCAGCACCCUCCCAGCAACCAGUACCCGGCAGUGUCACCUGCUCCUGGAUGUCUUCAACUCCACCGAGCAUGAGCUGACGGUCAGCACCAGGAGCAGCGAGGCGCUCAUCCUGCACGCCGGCGAGUGCCAGCGAAUGGCUAUUCAAGUGGACAAGUUCAACUUUGAGAGUUUCCCGGAGUCCCCUGGGGAGAAGGGGCAAUUUGCAAACCCCAAGCAGCUGGAGGAAGAGCGGCGGGAAGCCCGAGGCCUGGAGAUCCACAGCAAGCUGGGCAUCUGCUGGAGAAUCCCCUCCCUGAAGCGCAGCGGCGAGGCGAGUGUGGAAGGACUCCUGAACCAGCUCGUCCUGGAGCACCUGCAGCUGGCGCCUCUGCAGUGGGAUGUGCUGGUGGACGGACAGCCAUGUGACCGCGAGGCUGCG
rnacentral:sRNA from 1 species